rnacentral:lncRNA from 1 species
UUCUCAUUUGCCAAUAUUUACAGUUUUAUAUUUUGAAUUGUUUCCAUGAAAUACUAUUUUUUUAUUUAUUAAUAUGAUUAGAACUGCCUGCUUUGCUCUGGUCAUCCUUUCUUUUCCAUUUUUAUAUGACACAAUUUGCUUUCUUGCUGUGUAAGACAAGAAAUUUUCUUUUCAACCCUCCCAUGCAGCCCGGCCUCUCCA